UACGUAGGGUGCGAGCGUUGUCCGGAAUUAUUGGGCGUAAAGGGCUCGUAGGCGGUCUGUUGCGUCGGGAGUGAAAACUCAGGGCUUAACCCUGAGCCUGCUUCCGAUACGGGCAGACUAGAGGUAUGCAGGGGAGAACGGAAUUCCUGGUGUAGCGGUGGAAUGCGUAGAGAUCCGGAAGAACACCGGUGGCGAAGGCGGCCUGCUGGGCAGUGGCUGACGCUGAGGCGCGACAGCGUGGGGAGCGAACAGG
rnacentral:rRNA from 1 species